GGCGAACGCUGGCGGCAGGCCUAACACAUGCAAGUCGAACGAUGAACUUGGAGCUUGCUCUGGGGGAUUAGUGGCGAACGGGUGAGUAACACGUGAGUAACCUGCCCUGGACUCUGGGAUAACUUCGAGAAAUCGGAGCUAAUACCGGAUAGGACCUUGCACCGCAUGGUGUGGGGUGGAAAGUUUUUCGGUUUGGGAUGGACUCGCGGCCUAUCAGCUUGUUGGUGAGGUAAUGGCUCACCAAGGCGUCGACGGGUAGCCGGCCUGAGAGGGUGACCGGCCACACUGGGACUGAGACACGGCCCAGACUCCUACGGGAGGCAGCAGUGGGGAAUAUUGCACAAUGGGCGCAAGCCUGAUGCAGCAACGCCGCGUGCGGGAUGACGGCCUUCGGGUUGUAAACCGCUUUUAGUAGGGAAGAAGCCUUCGGGUGACGGUACCUGCAGAAAGAGGACCGGCUAACUACGUGCCAGCCGCCGCGGUAAGAC
rnacentral:rRNA from 1 species